CACACACACACACACACACACACACACACACACACACACUUUUAUCUAGAGCAGUAGAGCACGCUUUACAAUGAUAGCGUGCCUUGACUAUUUUUCACAUAACGCCAUUAUACAUGCCUUAUCUUUUCCCCACGAACUCCACAAAUAUCUUCGUCAGAUAAGCAUGGAUAUUGUGCUUGUAUGCUUCAGGCACCUCAGAAAUAAAGUGGGGACCUGCAUAGCAAAAUUAGCUUUAAUUAAAACUUGCCAAAUACAUAACCAAAAGACUCUUGUUAAAGGAGGCCUCACUGUUGCUAAUUUAAUCAUUUUAUUAUCAAUACCUCCUUUUUAGUGAGGUGGGGGAAGGAGUUACAAACAGGCUAAAAAACCUGUUCCUUAGAUUUACAGUGCUGAAAGUAAGAACAGCUGCCAUGCAAAUGUAUACUUUAAGUCAAUUCUGCACAUUUCUGAGUAGAGGACAACUUUGUUUUUUUUGUUUUGCCUUUUUACAGUUUAUAAACACCAUGAAUGCAUUAAAGAAAGUUUCCAAAUGCUUACAAGGUCUCUAUUUUAAAUGAUAUAAAAGUGAGCAGGUGAAGUUGGUACAGGAACAUGCUUUUGAUAUAGGUUUUCAUGCUGGUAUCUUUUAGUUUUCAGAAAUCUAUUGUUCAAAAAUAUUGUAAAAAAUGCUUCAAAUUUAAAUGCUUCAAAACAAGUUUUUUUGUUUUGUUUUGUUUUUUAAAUAGGCCCAACUGAUAGGUUCAGAUUGUACAUUCAUUCAAACUAUAAAAAACACAUGGAAAAUCAGAUGAUUUUCAGCUCAUACAAAGCAAGUUUUAAAAUCAAGCAUUUAUUUAAAAAUAAUGCUUUUAUUUGGUUACUAGGAAGAUACAGUUUAAUAAAGUUUACACACAUACAUUUUAUAUUACAUGUUUUGACGCUACGCAAAAAUGGCUUUAUAAUUACACUGUAGGUGUGUAUGUUAUUUACUUGUUUGUAUUUUCUUGUUUGUGUCCUGCCAUUUACUUACAUAGGGCCAAACCAUCCUGUGUGUAAGGCACGUAGUGGCCUACAGUAAAAAUAAGAGGAAAUGGACCAAAAGCAACGGAAGAGAGAGACCACUUUUCUAUGGCAUUAUGUAGUAUGUUUGGACAAUAGCAUAUAUCUGGCUAUGCUAUGGAAAGAAGGAGCUCCAGGAGAAAGUAGGGUUAAGAAAAGUUGUUUUCCCUAAGUUACGAUCGCACAGCUGGAAGUCACACCGGGCCAAACCAAAACUAAUUUCUACAAAACUUGGUAAAUUGUCAGCUUCAGCAUUCAUGGAUAUAGGGGAAUGAAGAGUCAGACAAAGGUUAAAGGGGCAUGUACAAGGAAAGAGCUCAAAACAAGCUCAUCUGACUGGAGGGUACACCAAGGAACUUGUGUGUUAAGCAUGUACCCAGCAGUGCUCCCUCCCGUGCUUAGAAAGCUAUAUGCAAAGAGGGAUGUUAAGUAAGGAAGAAGACAUCACAUCUCCAAACAGGUUCUCAUACAGAACAAAUAGUAUUAUACUGCACAGCAUGGGCCCUGUAUGAAUUGCAAAAUGUGGCCAAAUGGGGCAAAUCAGAGAAAAACACCUAGUCGAGGAAAGCAAUACAUUAUGUGGUGGAUUGUAAUGUAAAGAGAAAGUGUUGGCCUUCAUCAUCAAAGUCACAUGAGUCUCUACCAAAAGGGAGUGAAAUAAAGAACACUAUGGAAACAUCCAAUCCAUUCUGAAUGCACAAGGGUUAGACCAAUAUAUGAGGAGUGAUAGGCGAGCCCAUUAGUUCCUAGCACAGAAAUUGACUCAUCUCCAUGUUUCUCUGCAUGUUUUCAGGCCUUGUCACAUGCUCAAUCUAUUUAGCUAUUUAUACCAUGCUUAUUGCUACGGUAUUUGUGUGCUCUACAAAACUAUAAAUCCAUUAAUCGAUCUCAACAUAGGCUCACUUUGUUUCUUUUUCCCCCUUCACCAGCAUGCACGCAUGUGCACACACACACUCUCUAAUGGUAUACAUAUGAUUUAAAAAAUCAUAUUAAUACAGAUGUUUUGUCUAGGAUCCGAGUGAACAAACCAUGUCAAAUAAGUUACUGUAACAUAACACAUUAUGUUGUCUGCUAGAUCAAAGUUAGAAAAAUUUGAUUUUUUUAGAUUAGGACAAAGGAGAUUCUAGCCCUCUACAGAUGUUGCUCAUUCUUUAUUAUUAUUGACCGUGCAAGGGUUGGUUUUCUGCACAUUUGAAGACAUACCUCCUCUUUGUUUGAACACACUUUUUUCACAUAGUUUUCCUCAUGGUUUUGGCAAUUGCAUGGCUACUUUUGCAAUUGUGCAUGAUUUGCCUCUCAGAACUUACUUAGACAAAUUUUCUAUUAAAGUUAGUGGAAGUCUUGUCUGAACAACAACUGCACAAUUUGGUCCAUUUCUGCUUACGUCACUGUACGUAAAAGUCACAGUAUUGAGACCUUUAUGGAAAUUGUCAUAUCAAAAUGUAGAAUCUAGUUCAGGAAAGUAACUCAAGUAAAAUAUUGACCUCAACCUUUGUGGCAGCAAGUUAUUCUAACGGUACCUUGUAUAGAUCUUUUAAGCAUGUAAUAAAAAAAGAAACAAAUGUAAUUGUACAGUAGAAUAUUUGAACAAAAAUCCCAAACAAAAAGGUAACGUGUAGCGCACACACUGUAUGAAAAUUGUAUUUCAACAUGUAAAAAGCAUCUACACAAAUUCACAUUGCACUGACAGACCUGCAAUUUGAAUCAGAAAAUGCAGCAUAUCUUGAUACAAAGUAGAAAAGUUAAUUAUAAAAGAAAUUAGUCUCCGUGUCCUCCCUUGGCAUUAAUUAAAUUACUGUAUAUAUUUGAUCGCAAGCUGGUUCGUUUAUGGAUAAGUAAAAAUGGCAAAUUUUUAUGACCUAUUCAUAAGUUGACCCUAUAAUUCAGGGGUCAGCAAACUUUGGCUCCCGGCCCAUCAAGAUAAGCGGCUGGCGGGCCAAGACAGUUUGUUUACCUCGAGCGUCCGCAGGCACGGAGGUAAACCUAAGUAAACAAACUGUCACGGCCCACCAGCGGCUUACCCUGACGGGCCGGGACAGCAACUGGUGGGGAAAUUUUUGGAGGGGGAGAAGCUGGAGGUCAGGGGAGUAACCCCUGUGACCACCCCCACAUGACCCUAUCCCUGGACCUCUCCACAUGACCCAUCCCCAUGUAACCCCUCCCCGCCCCUAGCCCAGGACCACCACACGCUCCCCAUCCCAUCCCUUCCCACCUUAUCUGGGGCGGGCCAUGGGGAGGAUGUCUCUGGCCUGGCUGCAGCCUGCUCCGGCUGGCUGGGCUGGGCGGCGCAGCCACAGCCUGUCAGCCCCAGAGCUGCAGCUGCUUCGGAGGCUGGGGGGAGAGCAGCAUAGCCAGAAGAGGAGAGACUCUGGCCCCGCCUCUUCCCUUCUGGCUCUGCUGCCUAUCCUUGCCCUUGCCUAUCCUGGGCUGUGUCCCACCUCUCCCUCUCUAUACCCAUACUCAUAAGCCAACCCCCUUCUCUCCCUUCUCUGAUGCUUCACUUUUUUACUAAAAAAAUUCAGCCUAUGAACAAGUAUAUAUGGUAGGUUUUUCCAUUUCAUAGAAGUCUUCCCUUGAUUUCCAAAAAAACAAAAAAUCCCACAAAUGUAAUGGUUUUCUUGAUUAAUCACUUACGACUUAAUCCUGCUCUAUUGAAGUGAAUGGGAGGUUUACUAUUGAUUUCAUUGGGAGCAGGACCAGACCCUUAAACUGUAGGUGCAGAAAUUAUUACUGCAAAAAAAUUGCUUUUGUAACAAAGCAAUGGUGUAUGUCAAAAUAGCUUUAUUAUAAAAAAAUUGCAAUUUAUCUGAGUCUGCAAUUAAAAUAUACAUUUCUGGUGUUAGCCUUUCUGGUAACAAAUAAGCUGAAAUGUACUCAGUCACUACUUGUCCUAAAGCAUGUGCAAUUAUAUUCAUGCAUUGAAUAGUGGAUCAAAAUUUGUAAUGAAGAAUCAGUGAUGUAGAGAUUUUUACUUCAUUGGUUACUGGAAGAGUACUUUUGUGAGCAUACCAAGUUAGUCUGUGAAGUUUUUUAAUUAUUCUUUCAUAAAAACUUCAGACCUGA